GGUUCUCUAUCUGGAGAUCACUCCUCUUGGAGCCCUUCUGCAAGCCCAGGAUGUGGGGGAAAAGUACCAACUAAAAGCCAGUAAGACCAAGUGACCACAUUCACAAAGCAUCACAGAAAACGAACCUACUGAAGUCUCCAAAUUGUCACAAACCUUCAGCAGCUUGCCAGGACAAAGGAGGGGGAGAACCAACAAUCUGCAAGAGAAGAUCUGGCCAAGCUCAGACCAAGAACAUGACAGACAGCUUCACGCCUGGUGGAUGUAGUGUGUCCCACCUCCGCCUUUCAGCUGCAUAGCCCUUUGGGAUCAGGGCUCAAGAUCUGUCAGUAAGCCUCUCUGGAGAGGACUGGGGCACAGAGCAUACAGAACUGGUAACAAGCCUCCUCCACACCACAGGACAGGGUAUUUGCAAACUCCUCUGUUAGGAGGGGAGAGCUCUGCCAAACCCUUGACGUCGGAGUGCAUUGUCUGUGCAGGACUGGCUGCUUCCCAGACCGGUUCACCUGGUUUGAGCUUUCCAAGCUGGCUCUAAAGCCAUCAGCUGUGCAAGAGAGAUGCUGGCAGCAGAACCCAGCACAACAUCCGGGGAUGGGACCACAGGGACAUGGAGCAACCUGGGGACAGCACAGCACUGUCCUCCCACAGGAGAGAGGGAGGAGGGAUGUACAGUGCUCAGUGCUUUCCCUUUAGUUGCCACAACCUUAGCCUGCCUCACCAGUCCAAGGGAUAUCAAAGAAUCAUUAUGGUUGGAAAAGACCUCUGAGAUUACCAAGUGCAACCAUCAGCACCACAUCCACUAAACAACAAGGGAUGAGACUACGGGGAAUCUGCUGAGUUGGGACCACUUGUCGGUUCCCUCCACCUGCUUUCAAGAGGUCCCAAAGCCACAGCGGAGCCACGCAGCUGCACUGCAGACUGAGCUGGAGGUGCGGAACGUGGACGGACCUGAUGGCUCUUGGCCACAUGAAGGUGCCACCAGGAGGGAGAGCUGCAGCGCAGGGCACAGCGGUGGACGGGAUCAGCAGCAGCAGACGGAAGCGCGGCAGCUAUCAGCGCGCUGAGCGGCGCCGGACCCACUCGGCCCUUUUCUAAGAAACACCGCAGCAGUUGUGAGCGUUUACGGGAAGGGUGGGCUGCGCUCAACCCGGGCAGCCGCGAUAGUGCAGGGGGAGGAUGCGGCGCGGGGGGCUCCGCGCUGCUUUGCUUUCGUGUAAGGACUGCUUCCCGGAUGGUCCGGAGGAAAAGCGAGAGAGGAGGUUCAAUGCAAACCGCAUCUCUAAAUAGGGCUGAACUUUGAAGGCAUUCAGAGCAGUGCUUCCUGCUCUGAGCAGCCUUGAGGAGGAGAUGAAAGAUGCAGCUGAGCAGGGGAAAAAAAGCAAAACAAACCGAGUUAACGCUUUGUGCAGAGGUGCAGCAGUGACACAACAUGGGAGUGCGUCCAGAGCUGGGACAGAGCUCUAGGGACCCCAAUUCCCAUAAAGCAGCUCUACUUGGAGAAGAGAGCACAGGAAAUGAGAUAGAAAUGCCGUUUUUAAGUAUAAAAUGUGCGGCAUAAAGCAGGGAAUGGCCCGAUUGGGUUGAGUUGGGGGUCUUGCCAAGUAGCUUGCAGACUGCUCAGCGCCCUUCCUUGGGGCAGAAGCAGGCACAAUCAAUGGGCAUCCUCCAAAAAGCAGCAUGGUGCCAACAGCUCAAUAGGAACAGAGUGUCAACAUUCUCAUAACAUCAAAUGAAACAAAACAAAACCUGACCAACAGCCCCAAAGCCAAAGCAUUACAGAGCUGGGAAGUGGGGUUUGACAGCUCAGAAAGUACAACACAAGCAAAGUGUCACUGCUGCCGACCAACAGUAACCGACUUCUCGUAACCUGGCCAUGGGCUUCCUCUGGGGCUGGAGGUGGGGACAGCACAACACCGGCUGCCUGCACCCUAUGCAACACCACCACCACCCACACAACACCAACACCCACCGCGCCGACAGAGCCGGAGCAACAGGCUCGGCAGUGCCCGAGUGUAAUUGGGUUGACAACAUCCGGUGUUUCGCAAGCUGGCUUUGAUGUCUGUUUACUCUCCAUCCCCAGCACAUGCUCCACAGCGGCCUGAAGCAGACAGAAGGGCUCUGCACUGCUUUGAUCUCUCCCAGACCUGCAGGGAAUGGUUGGGCUGAAGACACCCUGGAGGGCUGCGGUGCCCCAUGGGGCUGCCCUGGGUGGGAGCCUUUGGGGCUGGGCUGUGUUCUCCUCUCAUCGCCAUCGGGAUGCUGCAGCCCCAUGGUGUGUCAGUACCCCACUUGCUCCCAUUUCUCUCCGUCCCACCCUGCAAUAAUAAAGGGAUGCCUCCACUCCA